rnacentral:lncRNA from 1 species
CUGUGGGAAUGGGGGGCUGCAACAGAAGGUGGGAAUUGUGGAAGCAUCAGCAGUGCUGAAAUAAACACAGCCACGCGUCACACGCGCUCACCACAAGCCGAUCACUUGCAGGACCAAGCUCAGCAUAAGCAAGCAGUGCUGCGUCGCUGCUCAGCAGAAGGCACACAGGCGUCCUCCUCAAGCACCGCACGGAUCCCAGCAGCAACACACACAGCUGCCCUGAUGCAGCGCGGGCAUUUGGCUGCUCCUCCUGUGCUGCCCACCAGCACUGCACACCUCCCGCGCCCUGACCUGUGCUCCUGCCCCACACUGCUGGCACACACCCAGACCGCGGGGACACUGCUGACCCUAAGAAGCCGGGCAGCUCCGUGCCGCUGGGGAAAAGGCACCGCUGUGCUGGACAGCUGAGCCUUCCAUGAGAUGACCAAUAAACCAGUCGUAUCAAUACUCAGCUCUAAUGCCCCAUUCUGUCAAUUCCGAAGUCUUCCCUACAAGUUAGAUGUAACUUCUACUUCUAUCAUUGUGUAGUUUAGUUGAAUUCAUUAUUGACAUAGGUGGCAGAGAGACUCAUAACAUAACAUGCUAUCCCACUAAUGUUACAAAAACAGAAUUCCACAAUCAGCUUCCACUCCAAACAAUAUAGGAAGAACUGAGUGUCUGACUGUGGUAGAAAUUCUCUCCUUGUUUGUGCAACUGAAAUCUCCUCUGUAAGCAUAGAGAAAAUUAAUUCAUGUUGCUGAUUUAAAUUGUCUCCACAGAUCAAGGUUUUAAGUUAGAGCUGUUCCUCGACAUCCACGUUCUGUCCAAAGCCUUUCAUAAUAGAGAAUUUGCUACUGGAACAGUAUCACUUGUUUUUCAUUUUAAUUUUAAAAGAAGAAACGGCUUUUUGCUAAGACAGCCCAGGAAAUGAAGAUUCCUGCCCCAGCAAAUUUGUUACUUAGGAGACAAGAGAUGGAGGCUUAGGAGCACAGUGGCUUCGUCUGUUCACACACAGAUGAGUACAUGAGAGCUAAACUUGCCUGGGACUCUCUGGCCAAUGAAGUGUGUCUCUGCUGGGAAGGGAUGCAUGACAGCCCCCUUACUGCUCUCUCUCCACUGACAACGAGCUUUCAAAAUGCCAUAAGGACAUAUAUUUAUUAACAGUUUCUUAAAGGCAGCAGAAACGAGUGAUACCUCCAAAAGAACCCCAUGUGACUCAGCAUAGUCGCCAUCAUCCUGCAUGGCGCGAUGGGCAACAUCAGAAGAUGCGGGGGCUGGGGGAAUCUUUGCUGUAGUGAUGACUCACAAAGCAACUCAGCAAAUAACAAUCUGAUUAUGAAAAGCAGUCUUCUGAACUGACUCACAGCCCAGGGCCUGAGGAUUUCACAGCAGGUAGUGGCCUCCUGUGGAAACCAGUUCCAUCUGUGAGCNNNNNNNNNNNNNNNNNNNNNNNNNNNNNNNNNNNNNNNNNNNNNNNNNNNNNNNNNNNNNNNNNNNNNNNNNNNNNNNNNNNNNNNNNNNNNNNNNNNNUAGCCGGCCCUGGCCCGCAAAGAGGCUCCGAAGGCGGCAGCCCCAAGGGCGAGGUGAGCGGCGGCGGCGGGGUCCGUGUGAGCGCAACUGCCGUCUCAGGGUCUGUAAGUGAGGGUGCAAAGCUCCGUGUGGAAAAGGCGAGGCUCUGAGCCAGCUGUCACCCACAGGACCUCCGUGUGGAGGCUGCCUCACAUGUUGGGGUGCCCAUCAGUGUGUUACCCCCUUGUGUAUUUCAUUUCCAGCCUCAAAUCUCUGCCCUUUGUAAGCUAGAUGUGUAAAAUACCGCUCUCUAAAGCUCCUCCUGGAGGAGAAGCAGCUGUUUCAUGUCCUCCCUGCAAUACACAUUCGUGAUGGUGGAAGUGACAGGAAUGCACUGGUGCUGUUCCCUCUGUGAAAUGGUUUUGUGUGAUGCCCGUAGCUAAAAGUAAUGAGAAUUUCAACCCCAAGCAGAAAUUAAUGAGCAAAGUGCAGUGGGAGAUUUGUCUGUGUCCCAGGUGUGUAAGAGCAGGUAAGAUGUCUGACAAGUUUAAAGUCGUUCUGAGCUCUUAAAAGUUCGCCUUCAGUUCUUCAGAAAGUUUCUUCUAGCUUCAUAACGUCAUACUUCUGGGAGUAAGCUGCCCAACAGGGUACUUUCGUACAUUGGAUCUGUGACACAGAGCUCUGAAAAUCAAUCUUGUAGUUGGAAAGUUUCUGUCACGUCUCAGUUCCAUGUCCUCUCCUUCCCAGAAAAUCUGUGGGAUGUCAUCCUGCUAAAGAUCUAGCAAGUGGGGUGAAAAAAGUGCUGAGCUUCCAGGAUUGUCAAAUCAUUCAUAAUGGGUAUACAGUAUUUGUGUUUUGAAAGGCGUUGGUUCAUGCUUUUAAGCACUGACUGUUCAGUUCAUAGAAUCGUUUGAGUUGGGAAGGACUCUUAAAGGCAUCAAAUCCAGCUCCCCUGCAAUGAACAGAGACACCUACAGCUAGAUCACAGUGCUCAGAUCCCCAUUCAGCCUGACCUUGAGUGUCUCCAGGGAUGGGGAAUUCACCACCUCUCUCGGCAACCUGUGCCAAUGCUUCACCACCUUUACAGUAAAAAUCUUCUUCUUCAUAUCCGAUGAAGAAUCUCUCAUCCAAUCUCUUCUCUUUUAGUUUGAAACAAUUUCCCCUUGUCCUGUCACAACAGACCCUGCUAAAGAGUCUGUCUCCUUCUUUCUUAUAGUCCCCCCACCCUUUAGAUACUGAAAAACACCAAGCCAGCCUCACAUAACAAUGCAUAAACAUGGCCUUUUAUGAAAUAUUUGAAACAUCCAUUAACAACAGAUUUCCCCACUGUCAGUUAAAUUUAGUAGUACUCUGUUGAACAGAAAUAACUCAAGAAUUAAUCACUCUUAGCUUAAAAACUGACAGCUAUUUUAAGCAGACGGCUUUUGGGGGGAAAAAAGCUGCACAAGUAUGUAUACUCAAAGGGACAAGUUAUGAACAUGCUCAUGUUAUGGUUAGGUUUAAAUUCAUUUUUUCGCUCACGCUUUUUGAACUGAGUUGUCAUGCUUCUGAACUUCAGAAUAUUUUGAGCCAGACAUAGCAAGGAUCCCUGGUUAUAUACAUACAUAUUUCAUUAAUGGCCAGGCAAGAUGUGGCUCUGGGCAACCUGGUCUAGUGGUUGGUGAUCCUGCACAUAGCAGGGAGUUGAAACUAGAUGGUCAUUGUGGUCCUUUUCAAUCCAGGAUGUUUUAUGAUUCUGUGAUAUGAUUCUAUGAUUAUAUGGUUGUCACUUCAUAGAAUCAUAGAAUCAUGGAAUCAUAGAAUCACUCAGGUUGGAAAAGACCUUAAAGAUCAUCGGGUCCAAACACAACCUAACCACACUACCCUAACUC